rnacentral:rRNA from 1 species
UACAGAGGGUGCAAGCGUUAUUCGGAAUUAUUGGGCAUAAAGCGCAUGUAGGUGGUUUGAUAAGUCUGAUGUGAAAUCCCCGGACUCAAUUCGGGAAGUGCAUUGGAUACUGUCAGGCUAGAGUAUGGGAGAGGUGAGCGGAAUUCCAGGUGUAGAGGUGAAAUUCGUAGAUAUCUGGAGGAACAACAGAGGCGAAGGCGGCUCACUGGACCAUUACUGACACUGAGAUGCGAAAGCGUGGGGAGCAAACAGG